AUGACGUUGCAUAUCCCCUGCCCUUUUUGUAUCAUGAUAUUUGCCCAUGUCAAUGAUGUUUAUUAUGAUGGAGAUGACGAUGACAAAGACAUGUUGAUUCAAGUACUUUGCUUGCAUUUGCAUAUCUGCACUCAUGAUGAUAGUGAAAGAAAGAGGUCCCUACCUUGGGUAGGCACAUUGAGACCUCCAUUGUUGGGUUGCGACCUACUUUGGAGGCAACCUCCAUGCGUUGGAGUGAGUGGAUGUCGACGGGCGUCCACUCAAGCGAUACCGGUAUACGCAAUGAAUGAGAUGAGCAUGUAG
rnacentral:rRNA from 1 species